rnacentral:lncRNA from 1 species
AUUAAUACUCAAAGUUGAGGGAAAAAGAAUAUAUGAUAGAGAUAUUGAGAGAAAAUAUGGUCCCAGAGUUGCAAGUCAGAAAAGUGGAUCAAAGUUAAAUUCUUACUUUUGUUUUUUUUUUCCAGAUUAGUUAUUUAUUUCAAAAUAUGCGUUCAAAUCAUAAAACUACUCCUUUAGAAUGUUCCAAGUACAUAUAAUUCAUUGGAAAAAUAGGGGGCCAAAAGUGAUACGAAAGCUGCUGGCAAUAGAUGAAUAUAGAUAGAUCAAUAUAGAAGAUAGUUGAUGAAUCCAAGUGCUGUGAAAUAAGUUAGAUUUACAUGUGAUUUUAGGUGGGGAAGAUAUGUUAGACAAAUUGCUCGUGGCUAACUAACCC